UACGCAGGGAGCAGGCGUUGUCCGGAAUUAUUGGGCGUAAAGAGCUCGUAGGCGGUUUGUCGCGUCUGCUGUGAAAGUUCCGGGCUCAACCCCGGAACUGCAGUGGGUACGGGCAGACUAGAGGGCGGUAGAGGAGACUGGAAUUCCUGGUGUAGCGGUGGAAUGCGCAGAUAUCAGGAGGAACACCAGUGGCGAAGGCGGGUCUCUGGGCCGCAACUGACGCUGAGGAGCGAAAGCGUGGGGAGCGAACAGG
rnacentral:rRNA from 1 species